UACGGGGGGGGCAAGCGUUGUUCGGAAUUACUGGGCGUAAAGGGCUUGUAGGUGGCCAACUAAGUCGGACGUGAAAUCCCUCAGCUUAACUGGGGAACUGCGUCCGAUACUGGAUGGCUCGAGUUUGGGAGAGGGAUGCGGAAUUCCAGGUGUAGCGGUGAAAUGCGUAGAUAUCUGGAGGAACACCGGUGGCGAAGGCGGCAUCCUGGACCAACACUGACACUGAGGAGCGAAAGCCAGGGGAGCAAACGGG
rnacentral:rRNA from 1 species